rnacentral:tRNA from 1 species
GUGGAGGUGGCUUAGAGGCCAAAGCACAGGACUUGCAAGCCUGAGGUCCCAGGUUCAAUCCUUGGCACCACA